GUAGGGUGCAAGCGUUGUCCGGUAUUACUGGGUGUAAAGGGAGCGCAGGCGGACCGGCAAGUUGGAAGUGAAAACUAUGGGCUCAACCCAUAAAUUGCUUUCAAAACUGCUGGCCUUGAGUAGUGCAGAGGUAGGUGGAAUUCCCGGUGUAGCGGUGGAAUGCGUAGAUAUCGGGAGGAACACCAGUGGCGAAGGCGACCUACUGGGCACCAACUGACGCUGAGGCUCGAAAGCAUGGGUAGCAAACAGGAUUAGAUACCCUGGUAGUCCAUGCCGUAAACGAUGAUUACUAGGUGUUGGAGGAUUGACCCCUUCAGUGCCGCAGUUAACACAAUAAGUAAUCCACCUGGGGAGUACGACCGCAAGGUUGAAACUCAAAGGAAUUGACGGGGUCACU
rnacentral:rRNA from 1 species